CGGCUCAACCGUUGAACUGCCGUUGAAACUGGGCGCCUUGGAUGCGGUCGAGGCCGGCGGAAUGCGUGGUGUAGCGGUGAAAUGCUUAGAUAUCACGCAGAACGCCAAUUGCGAAGGCAGCUGGCCGGGCCGCAAUCGACGCUGAGGCACGAAAGCGUGGGGAUCAAACAGGAUUAGAUACCCUGGUAGUCCACGCCGUAAACGAUGAUGGCUAGCUGUUGGCGAUACACAGUCAGCGGCUGAGCGAAAGCGGUAAGCCAUCCACCUGGGGAGUACGGUCGCAAGAUUGAAACUCAAAGGAAUUGACGGGGGCCCGCACAAGCGGAGGAACAUGUGGUUUAAUUCGAUGAUACGCGAGGAACCUUACCUGGGCUAGAACGCUUCUGGAGUGUACGGGAAACUGUACAGCCCUUCGGGGCCGGGAGCGAGGUGCUGCAUGGUUGUCGUCAGCUCGUGCCGUGAGGUGUCGGGUUAAGUCCCAUAACGAGCGCAACCCCUACUGCUAGUUGCCAGCGCGUAAAGGCGGGAACUCUAGCGGGACUGCCGGCGUAAGCCGAGAGGAGGGUGGGGAUGACGUCAAAUCAGCACGGCCCUUACGUCCAGGGCUACACACGUGUUACAAUGGCCGGUACAGAGGGCAGCUACCUGGCAACAGGAUGCGAAUCUCGAAAGCCGGUCCCAGUUCGGAUUGGGGUCUGCAACCCGACCCCAUGAAGUUGGAUUCGCUAGUAAUCGCGCAUCAGCCACGGCGCGGUGAAUACGUU
rnacentral:rRNA from 1 species